AGAAAGAACACUGGAACUGCUAAUUCCAUAAAUCCACAACUAACAUUGUGGCUUUCUU
rnacentral:tRNA from 1 species